AUUUUUUUGGAAGAUGACCAAAAUGCUAUCUCUAUUUGGAGAUAAUAAUUAGUCUCAUCUUCAUUGGCUUCUUCUCGAAUGCGGAGGGAAUUAUCGGAUGAGUACAUUGGAACAUGGUCGCCAUGUGGCCUGCUGCCCCCGUGUACCACUUGGAGACCAGCCUAGCAUGGAAAUGACCAGAUGUUGGAAGCUGAGCUACUGCUCAAGGUAUUAAUGCUUGAAAGAUAUUCCAUGUUUGAAGGGAUUUUUGUGGUGCUGGCCUACAAGUUGACCUUUUUGACGUGAAUAAGAAACAUUCUUCAAAACUGUGGUUGACAUCCAAGCUUGCUGUCAUGUUUUGAACUGCCCUAUGGAGAAAGCAACAUGGCUAAGAAUAUGAGAGAGCCAACAGGACAAUGAGGACCUCAAUACAGCAAGAAACCAAAUCCUGCCAACAACCAUGCACUCACAUCUCUACCCCACCAGCAGCGUCUUAGAGGCAGUGAGAACUCUAUUUUAGAAGGAAAACAGAAAACAGCCCGGGAAAAGAAAGAAAACAGAAGUCAAGACGUCCCAUCUGUGAUACAGAAUAACCCAUGACUUAAGAAUAUUUCAUGUAAUGACUUCAAACUACAGUAAGACUUCAGUACUUAAGAGCAUAGAUGUUGGAGUGAGAUGGUUGGGUCUAAAUCUUGGCUCCACCAUUCAUUGGCUCUGUGUCUUUGGGAACCUUCCAUAACCUCUGUAAGUCUCAGCCUCCUUGUCUGUAAACUGAAAGUAAUAAUAGUCCUUCCAUCAUUAGGCUGUUGCAAAGAUAAAAUGAAAUAGUGUAUGU
ensembl:lncRNA novel transcript